CCUACGGGUGGCAGCAGUGAGGAAUAUUGGUCAAUGGCCGGAAGGCUGAACCAGCCAUGCCGCGUGAAGGUCAGUGCCCUAUGGGCGUUAAACUUCUUUUGUGCGGGAGCAAUAAUGGUCACGUGUGGCCAGACGAGAGUACCGUACGAAUAAGCAUCGGCUAACUCCGUGCCAGCAGCCGCGGUAAUACGGGGGAUGCAAGCGUUAUCCGGAUUUAUUGGGUUUAAAGGGUGCGUAGGCUGUGAGGUAAGUCAGCGGUGAAAUGUCCCCGCUCAACGGGGUGAAGUGCCAUUGAUACUGCCUGGCUGGAAUGCGGAUGCCGUGGGAGGAAUGUGUGGCGUAGCGGUGAAAUGCAUAGAUAUCACACAGAACACCGAUUGCGAAGGCAUCUCACGAAGCCGCGAUUGACGCUGAUGCACGAAAGCGUGGGUAUCAAACAGGAUUAGAUACCCCAGUAGUC
rnacentral:rRNA from 1 species